UACGUAGGGUGCAGGCGUUAAUCGGAAUUACUGGGCGUAAAGCGUGCGCAGGCGGCUUCCUAAGUCAGAUGUGAAAUCCCCGGGCUUAACCUGGGAACUGCGUUUGAAACUGGGGGGCUAGAGUGCGGCAGAGGGGGGUGGAAUUCCACGUGUAGCAGUGAAAUGCGUAGAUAUCUGGAGGAACACCGGUGGCGAAGGCGGCAUCCUGGACCGGCAUUGACGCUGAGGCGCGAAAGCUAGGGGAGCAAACGGG
rnacentral:rRNA from 1 species